GAUGAACGCUAGCGGCAGGCUUAAUACAUGCAAGUCGAGGGGCAGCAUGACUGUAGCAAUACAGUUGAUGGCGACCGGCAAACGGGUGCGGAACACGUACAGAACCUUCCUUCGAGCGGGGAAUAGCCCAGAGAAAUUUGGAUUAAUACCCCCAUAGUACAUUAGAGUGGCAUCACUUUGAUGUUAAAGAUUUAUCACUUGAAGAUGGCUGUGCGGCUGAUUAGGUAGUUGGCGGGGUAACGGCCCACCAAGCCUGCGAUCAGUAACUGGUGUGAGAGCACGACCAGUCACACGGGCACUGAGACACGGGCCCGACUCCUACGGGAGGCAGCAGUAAGGAUAUUGGUCAAUGGACGAAAGUCUGAACCAGCCAUGCCGCGUGGAGGAUGAAGGUCCUCUGGAUUGUAAACUUCUUUUAUAUGGGACGAAAAAGGGUUUCUAACUCGUCUGACGGUACCAUAUGAAUAAGCACCGGCUAACUCCGUGCCAG
rnacentral:rRNA from 1 species